rnacentral:rRNA from 1 species
GCUUACAGCUAUACCACCUUGAAUUCGUCUGAUCUCGGAAGCUAAGCAGGGUCUGGCCUGGUUAGUACUUGGAUGGGAGACCGCCUGGGAAUACCAGGUGCUAUAAGCU